CCGGUCUAGGAUGGACCCAAUUUUUCUUUACAAAUUCUACGAAACUUGAUUUAUGAUCACACAUCCACUUGCGACAAAACACAGUACGGUCGCCGGCGUUCUGCUUUGUUUAGGGACGGCGUUACGCCACGCCACCUCCUCAGCGCUACCUUCUUUUUGUUCCUCUUGUCGGGCAACUUCCUCAUAGCUCAGCCGAUAAUGGACAAAACUUUAUCGUUGAGCACUGAACAAUUCUGUUACAAUAAGAAGACACUAUUGUGUCAAAUACGUUCCGACAGUAAUUGAAAUUUCUGCGUACGGCUAUUGCUUUGCCAGGUUACUCCUUACAGUUUACAGUGAGGCGGCGACUGUACCUGCUCCCCUGCCCUGCCAGCUCCCCACUCCCCUUCUCCGUUCCGAUCAGCAGCAGUCACACAGUGCACACGAGGGGGCGAGGACGGAUGGACAUGGUGCAAGCAUAGCAUCGGCCACGUGAACCAGUCCCGCCCAGCGGCCAGAUCGUCACGGAGCGGAGCAGGAAUUAUAAAGGUAAAGAAGAAGUUCAGCUGGACCCAGUCAUACAGAAGGAAGAUGGGCGCAUGUCUGAGGCAUUGAAAAGGGCUUUUUCGGUCUUUUGCCGGUCCAGGACCAUUACGGUUUUUCAUGUCUCGAGCGGCCGCCGCAGCUCCACCGGCGAUCUCGCUGCCUUCCUCGCCGCCGCCCCCUAUUGCAGGGCGUGCACGCCCACCACGUGCGUUUCUUACGUUAUAUUUUGUACCUCGGGGUAAAAAUAUCGUGGGGGGUACCUCUAAUAUUUGUACCCUGAGGUAAAAAUAUCAUGGGGCCCUUUGAUAUUUGUACCCCUAUUUUGACGGAAACUUUCACGUUGUUCUUCAGAAACACCGCAGAGUGGCUCGCGCUCGCCUCGCAGCACGAGCACGGCGGCGCACCUGCACCUCGCCCGCAGAAACAACACAAGAUGAGCGUGCACGAGCGGCUGUACGCCGUGCGGCGCAUGCCCGAACCCCCGGCGAGAUCGGGUGUCGCUGAGCCGGGGCCAAGACCAUGGGCCCGCGUGUCGGCGAGGAGGACACCGAGGAGAACUACAUCGGCAUCCUGGACGCCAACCUGCAGAUCCGGGACGAGGCGCUAGUCGAGGCGCUAGCCGAGGCGCAGGUCAGCAGCGGCCUCCUUGGCGCUGACGGAGGCCAAGAUCGGCUCGGUCGUGCCCAUCAUCCCCAGGACGUACCACAACAUCCUCAAGGACCUCCGACUCCUGCACAACAACUGGACGGAUACGGCCAAAGCCAGGCAGGGUUUUGUUAAAUACCUAAAUUUGGUAUGGAGUGCAUUUUUAAAAUUUAAAUUCCAGAAUAAUCUAGUCCAAAUUUUCCCCCUCCCUCAAAUAACGAAUGUAAUGUUAUUUCUAAAUGUGAUUGAUUUUCGUGUAUAUGAAUUUUUAGUGAAUUAGCGUU